rnacentral:rRNA from 1 species
ACUCAAAUGAAUUGACGGGGGCCCGCACAAGCGGUGGAGCGUGUGGUUUAAUUCGAUGCUAAGCGCAGAACCUUACCCGGGCUCAAAGGACUGGUGGUACUCGCCUGAAAGGGAGGGGGACCCGCAAGGGAGCCAGCCCAGGUGCUGCAUGGCUGUCGUCAGCUCGUGCCGUGAGGUGUUGGGUUAAGUCCCGCAACGAGCGCAACCCCCGCCGCCAGUUACACUCUCUGGCGGGACAGCGGCGCACAACGCCGAGGAAGGUGGGGAUGACGUCAAGUCAGCAUGGCUCUUACGUCCGGGGCUACACACACGCUACAAUGGGCAGCGCAAAGGGUCGCCAAGGCGCAAGCCGGAGCCAAUCCCAUCAAAGCUGCUCUCAGUGCGGAUUGGCGGCUGCAACCCGCCGCCAUGAAGCCGGAAUCGCUAGUAAUCGCCGAUCAGCAUGCGGCGAUGAAUCCGUUCCCGGGCCUUGUACACACCGCCCGU